rnacentral:rRNA from 1 species
UGGGGAAUAUUGCACAAUGGGCGAAAGCCUGAUGCAGCGACGCCGCGUGAGGGAUGACGGCCUUCGGGUUGUAAAACCUCUUUCAGCAGGGAAGAAGCGAAAGUGACGGUACCUGCAGAAGAAGCGCCGGCUAACUACGUGCCAGCAGCCGCGGUAAUACGUAGGGCGCAAGCGUUGUCCGGAAUUAUUGGGCGUAAAGAGCUCGUAGGCGGUUAGUCGCGUCUGCUGUGAAAACUCGAGGCUCAACCUCGGGCUUGCAGUGGGUACGGGCUGACUAGAGUGCGGUAGGGGUGACUGGAAUUCCUGGUGUAGCGGUGGAAUGCGCAGAUAUCAGGAGGAACACCGAUGGCGAAGGCAGGUCACUGGGCCGCAACUGACGCUGAGGAGCGAAAGCAUGGGGAGCGAACAGGAUUAGAUACCCUGGUAGUCCAUGCCGUAAACGUUGGGCACUAGGUGUGGGUCCAUUCCACGGAUUCCGUGCCGCAGCAAACGCAUUAAGUGCCCCGCCUGGGGAGUACGGCCGCAA